ensembl:sense_intronic Gm43387 predicted gene 43387
UUGAGGCCAGCCUGGUCUACAAAGUGAGCCUUAGGACAACCAGGGCUGCACAGAGAAACCCUGUUUUGAUAAAAGGGGACAGAAGCUUUGAGAAAAUGAUUAUCUUUGCUGUGACACCAAACCACUCCAUGCAGUGUUACAAUUUUUUAACUCCUUGUGGCAGGACCACCUGCCUAUAGUAAUUGCAGUCUGGAGUCUGUAGAGUAGAGAAGCUCUGAAAUAACCGUGUUUGAAAGCCUUUUUUCAGCAAGGGCCAGCUCGCUUUUGAGUAGUAAACACAAGUACUAAACAGCCUUUGCCUAUUAAUUCUAGUUUGGGAUUAUUGCAGGGAGCAAAUUUGUUAUUAUAUCUCUUUAGUUGUCACUGGAAAGUGAUUUUUGAAAUGAAACUAUUGCUAGAUCCAAGAGGUGAAACAUUUCAGGAAGUCAGAAAUAGCAUUUGAUUUAUUGGGAGCUAUCUUCUUGUGCACUGAAAAGUUUGUGGUUUGUUUAACAGAGCAUUCUAUAUAGAAAAAUACCCACAGUUGUUAAUUCUACCCCAUAUUUUUUGGGAAAUCUUACCUAGCAAGAGAAUUGAUCCUCAUUUGCAAAGGCAGAUUUGUGGGACAGUAUCUGUGCCUAGAAAUGACUUUUUAAAUCCUCACCUGAAAGAGUGGAGUAUAAAUAACAGUGUUGGGUUUUCUAGGCCAUUUUGAGUCUGUGUUUACUUCUCACCUUGUUACUGAGGUCGAGUGAGUGUCAGCCACAUGAAGAGUCUCGGUGCUGCAAUAUGUACCUGGGAGAACGGCUCAUGAAAUUCUGGGGUUUUUUCUUUUGUUUUUGGUUCUGUUUGUUUGUUUGCCUGGUGUGGACUAGGUGUGUUUUUCUGAGUAAGUUAUAUUCAAAAUGUCCUAGAACAUGUUCUCAUGUUCUCUCCCUCUUUCUCCCCCUCUCUUUCUCUCUCUUCUCUAAGGUGAUGUUGAAUUAAAAACUCGAAGUUUUUGCAAUUUUGCUAUAGGGUCAAAAGUUGGUGAUAACAUCAUUCUAAAGAUGCAAUAUUUUUAAAGGCUACCUAGUUAUGAACUUU